GCGCCGCUAGCUCAGUGGUAGAGCUGCCGCCUUUUAAGCGGAGUGUCCGGGGUUCGAUCCCUCGGCGGCGUA
rnacentral:tRNA from 1 species